rnacentral:rRNA from 1 species
AUUGAACGCUGGCGGCAUGCUUUACACAUGCAAGUCGAACGGUAACAGGCCGCGAGGUGCUGACGAGUGGCGAACGGGGGAGUAAUGCAUCGGAACGUGCCCAGUCGUGGGGGAUAACUACUCGAAAGAGUAGCUAAUACCUCAUACGGGCUAUGAAUGAAAGCGGGGGACCGUAAGGCCUCGCGCGGUUGGAGCGGCCGCUGUCAGAUUAGGUAGUUGGUGGGGUAAAGGCUCACCAAGCCAACGAUCUGUAGCUGGUCUGAGAGGACGAGCAGCCACACUGGGACUGAGACACGGCCCAGACUCCUACGGGAGGCAGCAGUGGGGAAUUUUGGACAAUGGGCGCAAGCCUGAUCCAGCAAUGCCGCGUGCAGGAAGAAGGCCUUCGGGUUGUAAACUGCUUUUGUACGGAACGAAACGGCUCUGGUUAAUACCCGGGGCUAAUGACGGUACCGUAAGAAUAAGCACCGGCUAACUACGUG